rnacentral:lncRNA from 1 species
AUCCUUCUUAAAAUUAUGCUUCCCACUAUUCCUCAUUUAUCUUCCUAUUUACCAACAUACCCUUUUAAUUUCUAUUUUUAUUUAAAUAAUAAUAAUAAUUCUCAUUAUUCUCUACUUUCCUAUUUUCCACCAAAAAUCCUAUUCUCUAUUUUAUUUUAUUAUUACUAAUAAUAUAUUCCGCAUUAUUUCUUCUAAUAUUCUAACUCUAUUACUGUAAUUAAAUAAAUAGAAUUAUUUCUAGCACCUAAAAUCUCAUAAACAA